CCUACGGUGGCAGCAGUGGGGAAUAUUGGACAAUGGGGGCAACCCUGAUCCAGCCAUGCCGCGUGUGUGAAGAAGGCCCUCGGGUUGUAAAGCACUUUCAGUGAGGAAGAACGCCUGGUGGUUAAUACCCAUCAGGAAAGACAUCACUCACAGAAGAAGCACCGGCUAACUCCGUGCCAGCAGCCGCGGUAAUACGGAGGGUGCGAGCGUUAAUCGGAAUUACUGGGCGUAAAGCGCGCGUAGGUGGCUUGAUAAGCCGGUUGUGAAAGCCCCGGGCUCAACCUGGGAACGGCAUCCGGAACUGUCAAGCUAGAGUGCAGGAGAGGAAGGUAGAAUUCCCGGUGUAGCGGUGAAAUGCGUAGAGAUCGGGAGGAAUACCAGUGGCGAAGGCGGCCUUCUGGACUGACACUGACACUGAGGUGCGAAAGCGUGGGUAGCAAACAGGAUUAGAUACCCUAGUAGUC
rnacentral:rRNA from 1 species